rnacentral:sRNA from 1 species
UGAGAUGAAAUGUGGACGAAACAAUGACAAAGUGGUGAAGAAUGAAUGCCGAAAUCAUGCAAAUUAUAGACAUAUCAACUCCCCCAAAUCCAAAGACUCAUACGGACUUUGGCUACACCAUAAAAGCUUUGAGAAGCAUGAAGAAGCUAGGUUAAUGUUUUGGAGUCAAGUAUGACUAGAUGUCAUGUGUAUGAUUGAUUAUAAGAACUAUAACCGCAACUGGUUCCUAAAAGCUAAAGUAGUGUUUCCUUGUUAGAAGAUACAAAGCCAAAGUCUCAAACGGACUUCAGCUACACCAUCAAAAUUUUGAGAAGCAAUAAGAAGCUUUUUUAGUUUUUUGGAGUCAAAUAUGACUAGUUGUCAUGUGUAUGAUUGAGUAUAAGAACUAGAACCGCAACCGAUUCCCACUAGCUAAAGUAAUGUUUCCUUGUUAGAAGAUACAAAGCCAAAGACUCAUACGGACUCCGGCUACACCAUCAAAAUUUUGAGAAGCAAUAACAAGCUUGGUUAGUGCUUUGGAUUCAAAUAUUA